rnacentral:tRNA from 1 species
GCAUGGGCCUGGUCAUGGGUGAGACCAAGCGGCUGUAAACCGCCCGCUUCGCGCUGUGCAGGUUCGACUCCUGCCCCAUGCAC